rnacentral:rRNA from 1 species
AGGGAUUGGCAUGGGCGAAAGCCUGAUCCGCAAUGCCGCGUGAGUGAUGAAGGCCUUAGGGUUGUAAAGCUCUUUUACCCGGGAUGAUAAUGACAGUACCGGGAGAAUAAGCUCCGGCUAACUCCGUGCCAGCAGCCGCGGUAAUACGGAGGGAGCUAGCGUUAUUCGGAAUUACUGGGCGUAAAGCGCACGUAGGCGGCUUUGUAAGUUAGAGGUGAAAGCCUGGAGCUCAACUCCAGAAUUGCCUUUAAGACUGCAUCGCUUGAAUCCAGGAGAGGUGAGUGGAAUUCCGAGUGUAGAGGUGAAAUUCGUAGAUAUUCGGAAGAACACCAGUGGCGAAGGCGGCUCACUGGACUGGUAUUGACGCUGAGGUGCGAAAGCGUGGGGAGCAAACAGGAUUAGAUACCCU